AAUAUUGGUCAAUGGAUGCAACUCUGAACCAGCCAAGUGGCGUGAAGGAUGAAGGUCUUAUGGAUUGUAAACUUCUUUUGCAGGGGAAUAAAAAGCGGUACGUGUAUCGUUUUGCAUGUACCCCGCGAAUACGGAUCGGCUAACUCCGCUCCAGCAGCCGCGGUAAUACGGAGGAUCCGAGCGUUAUCCGGAUUUAUUAGGUUUAAAGGGUGCGCAGGCGGGAGAUUAAGUCGGAGGUGGAAUUUUGCAGCUCAACUGUAAAAGUGCCUUCGAUACUGGUUUACUUGAGUGUGGAUGAAGUAGGCGGAAUUUGUGGUAUAGCGGUGAAAUGCUUAGGUAUCACGAGGAACUCCGAUUGCGCAGGCAGCUUACUAAACCACUACUGACGCUCAGGCACGAAGGCGUGGGGACCAAACAGG
rnacentral:rRNA from 1 species